rnacentral:rRNA from 1 species
CGGAGCUUGCUCCACCGGAAAAAGAAGAGUGGCGAACGGGUGAGUAACACGUGGGUAACCUGCCCAUCAGAAGGGGAUAACACUUGGAAACAGGUGCUAAUACCGUAUAACAAUCGAAACCGCAUGGUUUUGAUUUGAAAGGCGCUUUCGGGUGUCGCUGAUGGAUGGACCCGCGGUGCAUUAGCUAGUUGGUGAGGUAACGGCUCACCAAGGCCACGAUGCAUAGCCGACCUGAGAGGGUGAUCGGCCACAUUGGGACUGAGACACGGCCCAAACUCCUACGGGAGGCAGCAGUAGGGAAUCUUCGGCAAUGGACGAAAGUCUGACCGAGCAACGCCGCGUGAGUGAAGAAGGUUUUCGGAUCGUAAAACUCUGUUGUUAGAGAAGAACAAGGAUGAGAGUAACUGUUCAUCCCUUGACGGUAUCUAACCAGAAAGCCACGGCUAACUACGUGCCAGCAGCCGCGGUAAUACGUAGGUGGCAAGCGUUGUCCGGAUUUAUUGGGCGUAAAGCGAGCGCAGGCGGUUUCUUAAGUCUGAUGUGAAAGCCCCCGGCUCAACCGGGGAGGGUCAUUGGAAACUGGGAGACUUGAGUGCAGAAGAGGAGAGUGGAAUUCCAUGUGUAGCGGUGAAAUGCGUAGAUAUAUGGAGGAACACCAGUGGCGAAGGCGGCUCUCUGGUCUGUAACUGACGCUGAGGCUCGAAAGCGUGGGGAGCAAACAGGAUUAGAUACCCUGGUAGUCCACGCCGUAAACGAUGAGUGCUAAGUGUUGGAGGGUUUCCGCCCUUCAGUGCUGCAGCUAACGCAUUAAGCACUCCGCCUGGGGAGUACGACCGCAAGGUUGAAACUCAAAGGAAUUGACGGGGGCCCGCACAAGCGGUGGAGCAUGUGGUUUAAUUCGAAGCAACGCGAAGAACCUUACCAGGUCUUGACAUCCUUUGACCACUCUAGAGAUGAGCUUCCCCUUCCGGGGCAAAGUGACAGGUGGUGCAUGGUUGUCGUCAGCUCGUGUCGUGAGAUGUUGGGUUAAGUCCCGCAACGAGCGCAACCCUUAUUGUUAGUUGCCAUCAUUUAGUUGGGCACUCUAGCAAGACUGCCGGUGACAAACCGGAGGAAGGUGGGGAUGACGUCAAAUCAUCAUGCCCCUUAUGACCUGGGCUACACACGUGCUACAAUGGGAAGUACAACGAGUCGCGAAGUCGCGAGGCUAAGCUAAUCUCUUAAAGCUUCUCUCAGUUCGGAUUGUAGGCUGCAACUCGCCUACAUGAAGCCGGAAUCGCUAGUAAUCGCGGAUCAGCACGCCGCGGUGAAUACGUUCCCGGGCCUUGUACACACCGCCCGUCACACCACGAGAGUUUGUAACACCCGAAGUCG